UGACCUCGGAUCAGGUAGGGAUACCCGCUGAACUUAAGCAUAUCAAUAAGCGGAGGAAAAGAAACCAACAGGGAUUGCCUUAGUAACGGCGAG
rnacentral:rRNA from 1 species